rnacentral:rRNA from 1 species
UACGGAGGAUGCAAGAGUUAUCCGGAUUUAUUGGGUUUAAAGGGUGCGUAGGCGGCUUAGUAAGUCAGCGGUGAAAUUUUGCAGCUUAACUGUAACAGUGCCGUUGAUACUGCCAGGCUAGGAUUUGGUUGCUGUGGGUGGAAUGUGUGGUGUAGCGGUGAAAUGCUUAGAUAUCACACAGAAUAUCGAUUGCGAAGGCAGCUCACAAAGCCAAGAUUGACGCUGAGGCACGAAAGUGUGGGGAUCAAACA